UCCCUGGAGGACGGGUGGUUAGGCCUCGGUGCUCUCACUGCCGUCUCCCAGGUUCGAUUCCAGCCAGGGAA